GCGCGAAUCCUUUACAAUGCAGGCAACUGCGAUAAGGGGAUACCGAGUGCCAGUGAAUUUCAUUGGCUGUCUUAAUGUCUAAAACGCAUUUAAUAGCAAGGGCUGGGCAAGACCGGUGCCAGCCGCCGCGGUAAUACCGGCAGCCCGAGUGGUAACCACUAUUAUUGGGUCUAAAGGGUCCGUAGCCGGGCCAAUCAGUCUUCUGGGAAAUCUGGCAGCUCAACUGUCAGACGUCUAGGGGAUACUGUUGGCCUUGGGACCGGGAGAGGUAAGAGGUACUUUAGGGGUAGGAGUGAAAUCUUGUAAUCCUUAAGGGACCACCAAUGGCGAAGGCAUCUUACCAGAACGGGUCCGACGGUGAGGGACGAAAGCUAGGGGCGCAAACCGGAUUAGAUACCCGGGUAGUCCUAGCCGUAAACGAUGUUCGCUAUGUGUCAGGGACGGCGUGACCGUUCCUGGUGCCGAAGGGAAGCUGUGAAGCGAACCACCUGGGAAGUACGGCCGCAAGGCUGAAACUUAAAGGAAUUGGCGGGGGAGCACUACAAC
rnacentral:rRNA from 1 species